CCUACGGGAGGCAGCAGUGAGGAAUAUUGGUCAAUGGGCUUACGCCUGAACCAGCCAAGUCGCGUGAGGGAAGACUGCCCUAUGGGUUGUAAACCUCUUUUGUCAGGGAGCAACGCCGGCUACGUGUAGCCGGACUGAGAGUACAUGAAGAAAAAGCAUCGGCUAACUCAGUGCCAGCAGACGCGGUAAUACGGAGGAUGCGAGCGUUAUCCGGAUUUAUUGGGGUUAAAGGGUGCGUAGGCCGAAUGCCAAGUCAGCGGUAAAAUCGCGGGGCUCAACCUCGCUCCGCCGUUGAAACUGGCGUUCUGGAGUAGGCGAGAAGUAUGCGGAAUGCGUGGUGUAGCGGUGAAAUCCAUAGAGAUCACGCAGAACUCUGAUUGCGAAGGCAGCAUACCGGCGCCAAACUGACGCUGAAGCACGAAAGCGUGGGUAUCGAACAGGAUUAGAUACCCUUGUAGUC
rnacentral:rRNA from 1 species